rnacentral:rRNA from 1 species
UNUGACUUGAGUGCAGAAGGGGAGAGUGGAAUUCCAUGUGUAGCGGNGAAAUGCGUAGAUAUAUGGAGGANCACCAGCGGCGAAAGCGGCUCUNUGGUCUGUCACUGACGCUGAGGCUNGAAAGCGUGGGUAGCGAACAGGAUUAGAUACCCUGGUAGUCCACGCCGUAAACGAUGAGUGCUAGGUGUUAGGCCCUUUCCGGGGCUUAGUGCCGGAGCUAACGCAAUAAGCACUCCGCCUGGGGAGUACGACCGCAAGGUUGAAACUCAAAGGAAUUGACGGGGGCCCGCACAAGCGGUGGAGCAUGUGGUUUAAUUCGAAGCAACGCGAAGAACCUUACCAGGUCUUGACAUCCCGAUGCUAUUCUUAGAGAUAGGAAGUUACUUCGGUACAUCGGAGACAGGUGGUGCAUGGUUGUCGUCAGCUCGUGUCGUGAGAUGUUGGGUUAAGUCCCGCAACGAGCGCAACCCUUAUUGUUAGUUGCCAUCAUUAAGUUGGGCACUCUAGCGAGACUGCCGGUAAUAAACCGGAGGAAGGUGGGGAUGACGUCAAAUCAUCAUGCCCCUUAUGACCUGGGCUACACACGUGCUACAAUGGUCGGUACAACGAGUUGCGAGCCGGUGACGGCAAGCUAAUCUCUGAAAGCCGAUCUCAGUUCGGAUUGGAGGCUGCAACUCGCCUCCAUGAAGUCGGAAUCGCUAGUAAUCGCGGAUCAGCACGCCGCGGUGAAUACGUUCCCGGGCCUUGUACACACCGCCCGUCACACCACGAGAGUUUGUANCACCCGAAGUCGGUGAGGUANCCUUUUAGGG